UUUGAACUUAGAAAAUAUACCCUGUUCUAUUCAGUGUGGGACUUCUGAAUAGGUUAGCUGCAUUUUGAUACAGCAUCAUCUGCAGCAGUGCAUUGAGGUUUAGAGCCUUGUAUAUUAAACAUGCCAGCAGAUACUUCUCACAAUAGCUGCCUCCUCUUUCUCCAUGUAUGAAUAAUGCAGGGAGUUCCAGAUCAUCUGUCCCUGUCAUUGCUGCUGCAUAUUGAUAUAGUCACAAAGACUAACUGUUAGAGAGCAAAACGUGUGAGGAUGUUCCCUGACCUUUCCCUUCUCCCACCAGUAAAUCCUAUUUUUUUCUAUGGAGGCAACAAGCACUAUCUGCUGGCAGCAGUGUUUUGGUGAUCUGUGUACAACCAAACACAGGGCUGAGUAGUUCUCAGGAAGGUCACGUUAGUGUGGAUCUCAGUGAUCCUCUGACUUAUUUCUGUGAUCCUCUUUUGUGCCAGAUAGCAAAAUCGAAUUCCCCUUCCUGUCUCUGAUCUCUGUCUCAUGUCACUGCAGGGUACAGGUAUCCUCCACCAGGCACAGCCCCACCUGCAGUGCUGCAGGAGGGCACAGAGGGGACUUCAAGGGAUCUGGGGGGUUUUAGUCCACCCCGUAUAGCUGAACCUCAGGGGGCUCCCAUAGGCUGACCUUGGUUUUCAAAGUCUGAGUCUAUGGAGGGACAAAGAGGCAUAUGCCUCCUAUAACAGCUUUCCUUGUUGAAGAGGUAGGAGGGAGCUGUGAGGCAACCCUCUCUUACUUGCUGAAGAUUCAGGCUUAUCUGGGAGCCUGCAGGUGUCAGAAGUGGAGCGGAUGGCACUGCACCCCUUUGCACUGCUGUCCGUGCCAACAGGGCUGGCCCUCCUGGAUGCUCACAUAUUUGUUAGGAAAAGUGGAUCCAGAGGUCCCUGCUACAGCUGGCAGGCACAGCCACCACCUGUCUGCAUAGGCAAAUGCUGGCAGUUGCUGUUGCAAUGCUCCGCUUCCCCUCUCCCUGGAAGCCACAGUGCAGCGCUGCCUCCUAUUCCAAACACCAUUUUAUUACAGCUCCUCCUAAAGCCUGUUGUUUUCUCAGUGUGGAUGGCAGCGACGUGAGUUUGGCUCAGUGUGGCUCUUCCCUCUCUUGUGCAUUGCUGUGGGUGAGAGUGAGGAGAUCUGUGUCCUCAGGGGGCAGCUUGGCAGAAAAGGGACCUUGCUGGGGAACGCACACUGGCACCCACAGGCGAGGGGUGCUGGGAGCUAGAGCCUAGCUGGCAGCUGGGUGGAAGUGAUGGUGGCUUCUUGUAGAGAGGCACUCUAGGACCUUAUGGAAUGAUGAGGACAAGGACUGAGUCUCCCGGAGCUCUUCCAGGCACUGGUACACUGUAGCCCCCAGACAGAUGUAAUUGAUGAGACAUCCCGCUGUAUGUAGUAAUGGGUGUUGUGUGACUCACCCUAAUGAACAAAAACAAUGCCACGUGCCUCCUAAUGGGACUUCUGGUCUUCAUGUCCCAGUGUUUGCUAUGAAUUAUUUAAGGCAUCAGGAGGGAUCUGUGAGUAAUGACAUCUCUGCUGAUUAUGUUUCACCUCAGAUGACUCCAGGAGUCUGCUUAGCAGUUCAGGUCUGUUUUGGUCCUUCACUGGUGGAUCUGCCAGCUUGCAAAUUUCUCCAAACUCUUAUUCUCUGCUUUCCUUUAGCUCUUGAUUAGGUCUGUCAGAAAAGGAAGACAAGCAAGUUAGCUUUUAAAUCUGAGGACAGUAGCGAUAUUCGCGGCAGGAUCUUAUUCAGGCAAGUGUGUGAAGAGUGUGCAAGGUGUGCACAAGAGCCUUCUGCAAUUCAUGCUCCUGGACCUCACAGGCCCUCUCCCUUUUGUUGUAGGCAGAAAGCCCUGACUCAUGGCAAUCCAAGCUUCAGACAAAGUUGGUUGGAGCACCAUGAUCAUAAACUCCAUCAUAGAUUGGCUAUCAGCAGGAUGGAGGUAGGUGAAACGGAUGGGAAGUGCCAGCUGCUGUACAGUGCAUGACCUGCUGCAGACCCAGCAGCUCGAUGAGUCCAAGGCUGGUGCUUCUGUUGCAAUAAGAGAGUUCAUUGAGGAAGGAAGAAAGAUGAAGGGAGGAGGCACUGGACUUUGGCUUUGGUGUUCAGAGUAGAACAAAUGCUUCGAAAAACUUCGAUUUUGUGGUAGUUUGCUUUUUUAUUUUAUUACUGUUAUUAAACUUGUUGUGUUCACUUUUUCACUCAGUGCCUUGAGGUUGCACUGUGCUCUGGGUUUUGUGUGAAGCCAUUCUUCUAGCUGCAGCCUUGGAACAGAGAGCCUGAAGGGGACUUUGGGAAGAUUAAAGAUUGCUUUAAGAGAAUGAAUGAAAGCAGACAGCCGGUAUUUCCCAGAGCUAAGAGCUGGUGCGGAGCCUUAGCGCUUUGUCGCAGCUCUGAAUCUGCCAUUGCCAAUGACCAAAGGGGAUAAAACUGAACAUCUGCCAUCUGUGACUUUUGACCAGAGAGGGACGAUCCUCCUUAUUCUGGGGAAUGAAGCCCUGAUUUAAAGCACUUCAUGCCCUGCUUUCGCUGAUAUGAGAAGGGCACAUAUGUUAGGGUCAGGCUUCAGUUUUAAGGAGCCUGCUUUUGAUUACAAGCCUGCAAUAGAGCCGUGGAAAGGAAAACAGUUUCCCUUGAAGGAAAUGAAUUAGGAGGCUUUUGUGGAAGCAAAACCAAAGGAAUGAAUGUUGCAGUGCUGCAGUGAGGGGCAAGCUGCACUUCCACUGUACACAAGUGCCUCCAGUUCUUGGCCUUUUCUUUGUUUUGGUGCACAUUGCCUAGAUCCUAAAAUAUCCAACCUGUGCAACGUCAAGACAAAGCAGUUAAGGAGGCAGCAUCUUGAAGAAGCUCUUCUCAGGAGGCAGUGGCUGUUGGAAAUGGCUGAGGUAACCAGGUGCGGUGGGAUAUUUUUAUCCUUUCCCAAGUAGGAGGAUUUAAGAGGACUUCAAAAACAGAGCCAACGUUAUUUUUAAACACAACAGUUUAAAGAGUUCGGGAUUUUUCUAUUGCCGUAAUAGACCAAGUGUUUCAAAGAUCUAUCCUCUUUAUCUCACUCUUAAGGUCCCCAAGGGGACAUCAAAGCAGAAGCCAGUGGAUUUGGCCUGUCAAAGUGGGGGGUAAGGACACAUCCUGGAUGACAGUGUGGCAUUUGUCUGUGGUUAGCUAUUGCUAGCAGUCAGGCCUGGAAGUGGUAUAAGGUUGUAGCAGGAUGGGAAUGAGGAAGGUGGUAGAAGUUGCUCGCGCAGCUCUAUUUCCCCAGCAGCACUGAACUCGUGUUGGCAAGCUGUGAAGGAGUGGCUCCAUGGAACCAUUGAGCCUUGGCAGUCUUAUUCAUACAUCCUUCUGUUCUCACCUUCUCAUUCCUUCUUACUUUAAAAUUAAAAAAAAACAACAACCCACCACCACCAACAAAAAAACCCUUAAGAAAAUAAUGUGUUUGCUUGUAUAGUUUAGAAGAAUAAAAUAACCACAUUAGCAAGACUUGUAUUUAUUCCUGGCAUCAUUUUCCCCAUUAGGAAGAAGUAUGUCAUAACUUCUGUAACAGACUGCAAAUGCUUUGGCCAAUGGAUUGAUGUGCCCUGUGAUUUAACAGGUAUUUGUUAGAGAUGACUCGACUGUGCUCCCCUGAAAACAAUCAAAACAGAUGGGAUAUCACAUGAAGAAAAUCCCCCCAAAAGCUUAAAGACAGUAAGAACAGAGAUCUGCUAAAACAUGAUUGCUAAUUCUUCCCAGGAUGCAAAGUUUAAAAACAAUUAGAUGGAGGCACAAACUGUGCAAGCAAAUCCAUUUCCACGUGCAAAAUUUUCUGUUAGCAAUUGCAAAUUGGACAGCGAGUUGAAAUUCUCCCCAGUGGAGAAGAGGAAAGCAGAAAGGCUUCUGCCCCUCUCAAAUCUUGUUUGUCUCUGUGGUACUUACAGAGCCCUCAUUAAUGAAGUAUUUAAGCUUGUUACAACCUUAUUGCAGCCCCUGAGAAUAACAUUCAUUUCACAGCAUAAAGUGAAGUACAGGAGCUGUGUUAACACUUUCUGUGGCUCAGUUGUCCUGGGAGCAGCAGCCUGCAGCAUCCCCAGCCUCAAACCUGCACAUCCAUCAUGCCCUCCUGGGCAGGCUGUACUGCAGGUCCCAUCUGCCAUGGUGGAAGGUGACGGGAUUUAAGAUCCUGGGGCCGUGUUGUCUCCACCAGCCUCAGCCCUCAGGUAUGUGGGAAUGCAGCCUCCUACCCUGUGCUCAGUCUGGCUUCAGGUCCUCAAAAGCCCAGGAAAAAGGGUUAUAUCUGAUGUCCUUGGGUCCUUCUGCCCAACGAGGGCCCUCUGACAUGGACUGUGGGCAGAGGCAAUGCUUAGGACACAGUGCACUGGUAAAAAUGACCUGAGGGAGUUUUUUCCCAUUCUCUAUAGCUGUCCAUCCUCCUUCCAGAAAAAUCCAAGCUCAUCCCUGAAGUGAGCUGUUUGGGGGCAAUUUUCACCCUGUUGGUGAUUGCCUUCUUCCUUCUGAUAAUGCAGGUGGCUGCAUGCUUCGCAGAUGAAUCGAUAUGGAGGAAGAAAGCCCUAAUUUGCUGCAACCUUUGACUUUUCAAGUCAUGACCAAUGGAGACGUUUCAAAAUCAUGGCUCAGAGGUACCUGGCAAAGCUCCCGUGGUGCUGCACCUUGCUGUCUCCUGCACUGAGCAGCACUGGAUGGACUAGGAGUGGCCAUCUACGUUUUUUAUUUGCAAAAACGGAAUCCCUUUGAGCACAGCCAAACUCUUCUCUUUGAGAUUCAACAUAGCCAAACUCUUCUUCUUUUUUAAUCUCUCCAUCUGCAAAGCUUCCCAAAUACUUCUGAUCCAGAAGCCAGGAUCGUACGGUGCCUGUGAGUGGGGCUGCUGCUGCGCUGCGAAGGCCUGUCUGAAAGGCUCUGACAGGAAGAAAAUAUGUUUUCUGCAGCCCCUGGCUUCCUGCCAGCUGCACGAUAGCUGCUGCGGAGACAGACUAGCCCAGACGGUCCUAAUACAUCAUAAUAUUAAUACUGCUAUUUUUGUCUGUACAGCUUUUGAGAUAGCAUCAUCAAAACUGGACACGGUGCUCAGUUGGGCACUUCCAGCACUGCAGGGUAUCAGAGAACACCUACGAGAAACCAGAAUGUGAGCUGGGCAGUAGGAGCCCUGAGGCCCAUCUCCUGCACACUGUGGCAGUGAAGGGAAUUACCACAAAGUCAGCGUUGGAAGUGUCUGGCCUUCCAAGGUUGGUUGAGUUUGAUGCUUAGGAUGUAGUGACAGAGCACCUGGGUUUUCCCAUGAUGUCACCAGAUGGAUUAACUUCAAAAGGAUCAGCCAUCCUGAUCCUCCUACCCUGACCUCACCAGCCAUGUACAGACACCUGGCUUCCACAGCAGCACAAAGAAACCAGCUCUUAUCCUCAGAUGCUUAAACUGAUUGCAUCCCUGAUCCGUUUGGUCAGCCUCUGAAUGGCACUUCCCCUUGCUUGAGUCAUUUAAUCACCGCUGCCAAUCAGCACUAUUGAGCAGAGCAACAAUACGUCUCAAAGCUCAAUCACCUUCACAAUCCUCUCACUGUCAGCCCAUGUGUCUCCCUGCAGGGCAGAAUUACUGUAGAUGAGAUGCAGGGUGGUUUUGUAAUUGAAAUGUUCGCUCAUAUGUGCGUGUGUCUCAUGAGGACGCGUGACUAUGUGUAUAUACAUGGGUAUGUGUGCCGUGCUUUGAAAUGCAGACUAAGUGUUGGGGGGCAGCGUGCAUUCAGAAAGGAAAUUAUGCAUUGAAACUGCAUUUGCAUCUUCUUAACUAUUCAGUCAGCUGAGAAAUACACUGAGAAGCAGCAGCAGUGCGCAAGGCUUGCUGUGACACUGAGCUGCACUCGUGUGCUCAGCUGAGUGGGCUCACAUGGGCAUGAGAGACAAUCACAGAAUCAUUGAUGUUGGAAAAGAUCACUAAGAUCAUCUGGAGACCCUGUGCAGGGACGUCUUUUGGUGCUAGAUCUCCUCAUCGUCAUCACAUGGCACAAGCCACUCACAUUCCACUUCUGAAAUUCAGCAACUUGCGCUGGAAAUUGGCUUGUGAGGAGAGGGGCCUUGGGGAACCGGCUCAGCUUGGUGAGACGGGCGGUCCCAGCUCAGUGCUGGCCGCCCAUGGCCCAGGGAGGUGGGGAAGUGUUCCUGCCUGCCUUCCCAUCUCUUGCCCUUUCCUUCCCAGAAAAAUCUCUGAAGUUUUCAUUUCCACCUUCAAUCCAAAUCAAAUUUCAGACUUCAAAUUUCAAAUUUCGGCUCAAGAAAUGGUGAUUUUCCAUUCCCAUUCCUCAUUCCUUUUCAGCUUUGUCCCCUGCUUUCUCUCUGCUUCACCCCUCCUGAUAUUCAGCAGCCGGAGACAAACCUUUGUGUGCUCUGUGCUCUGGAGCAGCCUUCAUAAACACUGCCUUUGCUUUCUGGGAAAGUCCAGCAGCAGGGACACGUGUUAGCUCUGGGUCAUUCCAAGGGGUACCAAGUCCUGCAACCCUUAAGCUCAAUGGCGUUGCUGGGAUCAUUGGUGUUUGACCCUGUAUGUAGUGUAAGGCUAAUGGUAUGUAAUGCUCUGUUGUGAUUCAUCAAUCAUGCAUCUAGAUACUAAUUAUAAUCCGCCUCUUAUGUAUGCCACUAGCCUAUAAUUUUAAUCCCAAACAUUUGUGUGUGUAAUGAGGCAGUGCUUUUGUGCCUUACAUCCUGGUGUAAGCCUGUGAUUUGCGCCAUGCUGGAAAUACAAAAUCAAAUAAGAGGGAAUAAAAAUAAAACAGCGGAAAACUUUUGCCCUUUGAAUUUGACAUAUAAAAAGUGUUGCGAUGACUUCAAAAUUUGCAAAGCAAACAACUGAAUGUGCAUGUGUCUGCAGCCAUGUAUAUCAAGGUAACUUUCAAAGCCC
rnacentral:lncRNA from 1 species